rnacentral:rRNA from 1 species
GAUGAACGCUGGCGGCGUGCCUAAUACAUGCAAGUCGAGCGAACGGACGAGAAGCUUGCUUCUCUGAUGUUAGCGGCGGACGGGUGAGUAACACGUGGAUAACCUACCUAUAAGACUGGGAUAACUUCGGGAAACCGGAGCUAAUACCGGAUAAUAUUUUGAACCGCAUGGUUCAAAAGUGAAAGACGGUCUUGCUGUCACUUAUAGAUGGAUCCGCGCUGCAUUAGCUAGUUGGUAAGGUAACGGCUUACCAAGGCAACGAUGCAUAGCCGACCUGAGAGGGUGAUCGGCCACACUGGAACUGAGACACGGUCCAGACUCCUACGGGAGGCAGCAGUAGGGAAUCUUCCGCAAUGGGCGAAAGCCUGACGGAGCAACGCCGCGUGAGUGAUGAAGGUCUUCGGAUCGUAAAACUCUGUUAUUAGGGAAGAACAUAUGUGUAAGUAACUGUGCACAUCUUGACGGUACCUAAUCAGAAAGCCACGGCUAACUACGUGCCAGCAGCCGCGGUAAUACGUAGGUGGCAAGCGUUAUCCGGAAUUAUUGGGCGUAAAGCGCGCGUAGGCGGUUUUUUAAGUCUGAUGUGAAAGCCCACGGCUCAACCGUGGAGGGUCAUUGGAAACUGGAAGACUUGAGUGCAGAAGAGGAAAGUGGAAUUCCAUGUGUAGCGGUGAAAUGCGCAGAGAUAUGGAGGAACACCAGUGGCGAAGGCGACUUUCUGGUCUGUAACUGACGCUGAUGUGCGAAAGCGUGGGGAUCAAACAGGAUUAGAUACCCUGGUAGUCCACGCCGUAAACGAUGAGUGCUAAGUGUUAGGGGGUUUCCGCCCCUUAGUGCUGCAGCUAACGCAUUAAGCACUCCGCCUGGGGAGUACGACCGCAAGGUCGAAACUCAAAGGAAUUGACGGGGACCCGCACAAGCGGUGGAGCAUGUGGUUUAAUUCGAAGCAACGCGAAGAACCUUACCAAAUCUUGACAUCCUUUGACAACUCUAGAGAUAGAGCCUUCCCCUUCGGGGGACAAAGUGACAGGUGGUGCAUGGUUGUCGUCAGCUCGUGUCGUGAGAUGUUGGGUUAAGUCCCGCAACGAGCGCAACCCUUAAGCUUAGUUGCCAUCAUUAAGUUGGGCACUCUAAGUUGACUGCCGGUGACAAACCGGAGGAAGGUGGGGAUGACGUCAAAUCAUCAUGCCCCUUAUGAUUUGGGCUACACACGUGCUACAAUGGACAAUACAAAGGGCAGCGAAACCGCGAGGUCAAGCAAAUCCCAUAAAGUUGUUCUCAGUUCGGAUUGUAGUCUGCAACUCGACUACAUGAAGCUGGAAUCGCUAGUAAUCGUAGAUCAGCAUGCUACGGUGAAUACGUUCCCGGGUCU